rnacentral:rRNA from 1 species
GUCCUAUUGAUAAUAAUUUUAGGUCUGACCUGCCCCCUGAUAAGGAUUAAAUGGCCGCGGUAUUUUGACCGUGCUAAGGUAGCAUAAUCAUUAGUUUUUUAAUUGAAAGCUAGAAUGAAUGGUUGGAUGAAAAAAAUUCUGUCUCUAUUUAAUUUUAAUUAUAAUUUUAUUUUUUAGUUAAAAAGCUAAAAUUUUUUUAAAAGACGAGAAGACCCCGUAGAGUUUUAUAAUUUAUAAUAUUAAAAUUUAUUAGAAUUAAAUUUUUUUUUAUUUUAUAUUAUUUAAUUGGGGUGAUUGAAAAAUUAAAUUAACUUUUUCUAUUUUAUGUACAUUGAUUUAUGAAUAAUUGAUUCAUAUUUUAUGAUUAUAAGAUUAAAUUACCUUGGGGAUAACAGCGUAAUGUUUUCAAAGAGUUCUAAUCGAAGAAAAAGAUUGCGACCUCGAUGUUGGAUUAAAAUUUACUUUGGGUGCAGAAGCUUAAAAGUUGGGUCUGUUCGACCCUUAAAAUUUUACA